UACGGAGGGGGCUAGCGUUGUUCGGAAUUACUGGGCGUAAAGCGCACGUAGGCGGACCAGCAAGUUAGGGGUGAAAUCCCGGGGCUCAACCCCGGAACUGCCUUUAAAACUGUUGGUCUGGAGGUCGAGAGAGGUGAGUGGAAUUCCGAGUGUAGAGGUGAAAUUCGUAGAUAUUCGGAGGAACACCAGUGGCGAAGGCGGCUCACUGGCUCGAUAUUGACACUGAGGCACGAAAGCGUGGGGAUCAAACAGG
rnacentral:rRNA from 1 species